rnacentral:rRNA from 1 species
GACGAACGCUGGCGGCGUGCUUAACACAUGCAAGUCGAACGGAAAGGCCCUGCUUUUGUGGGGUGCUCGAGUGGCGAACGGGUGAGUAACACGUGAGUAACCUGCCCUUGACUUUGGGAUAACUUCAGGAAACUGGGGCUAAUACCGGAUAGGAGCUCCUGCUGCAUGGUGGGGGUUGGAAAGUUUCGGCGGUUGGGGAUGGACUCGCGGCUUAUCAGCUUGUUGGUGGGGUAGUGGCUUACCAAGGCUUUGACGGGUAGCCGGCCUGAGAGGGUGACCGGCGACAUUGGGACUGAGAUAGGGCCCAGACUCCUACGGGAGGCAGCGGUGGGGAAUAUUGCACAAUGGGCGGAAGCCUGAUGCAGCAACGCCGCGUGCGGGAUGACGGCCUUCGGGUUGUAAACCGCUUUCGCCUGUGACGAAGCGUGAGUGACGGUAAUGGGUAAAGAAGCACCGGCUAACUACGUG